ensembl:lncRNA
GCACUUUGUGACUGAUGGUAAUGAUUGUAUUUUUCCUCCCUAAGCCGGACAGCAGCAGACAACAAAUUCCAGAAAAACGUCAGAGACAGGAGACACCAUCGACCAGUUCCACCGUGCUGCCGUUCUUCAUACACGAAAGGGAAGAGGACCAGCAGCAGGAGGAUCAUCACUCAAACCUGGAGAAUUAUCUUUUCAAAGAAAUAUCAUAUGAAUAUGAUUCUUUUAAUAAGUUAUUUAAAGUCCAGUAUAUAGAUUCAAGGCAGCAAUUUAUUUUAGAACUUAUUGCUCAUCAUGAAAGCUUGUGUUUGCCCUCAAUUGAAAAUACCAGUAAUUUACAACCAGUGACAUCAACAACAGCCAGUGCUCAAGAUUCACCGGCUGCGAAUGUUUCACCAAAUAACAACUCCUCGGUUGGUAUUACUUACAAUACAGGAGCAUUUAUAAUGUGGUUCCAGGAUAAGUUAAAAGAAAGCAAAGAUGAUGAAAAAAAAACAGAUCUUUUUAUUGACAUAAUGAAAUUAUAUUUGAAAUUAGAAAAAUUAAUUAUCCCUUUAGUUGAAGCAGAUGAGCCUAUGCAGUCUCUCUUUGACAAACACCAAAAGAAACACAGCCGAAAGGAAAAGCAGUACGCGUUUGCUAUUGUGUUUUUUAAAGAUGGUAAAACUGAGAUUUCUUCUCUAUUUUAUCCACGUCAUUCAACAAAGAGAAGUCAUUCUGAUUCCAUCAUUAGAGAUACAUUACACAGUGAGGAAAUCUUAAUCAAAAACAUUGAUAAUCUCUUUCAGAACAAUGUAGACGAUGUGCAACAUGUUUUCAUCUAUACGCACAACAGCCCAUGUAUGAAGAGAGAAAAAACACAUAUAGACCCGUGUAUGUUUCUACUACGAAAGAAAGCAGAUCAGUGGCUCAAUAAAUAUGGAAUUUCUACAACCGUUGCUUUCAAAAGGUUUUGGGGACAAAGUCAUCCAAACUAUUUCAAUUAUGUCACAGACAUCUCUUCUCCCAGCAGUGUUUUUUAUCCAUAUACUGAACAAUGUGACAGUAUGUCCUUCAAAUUAGACUUCAAGAAAUUAACACCUGGGGAGAUCCUGAACCUCACAGAUGUUGAAGUCAAAAAGAGGCCGAAACUAUGUAAAGACAUUGAAUCUGUUCUUACCAGUCUUAAGGAAUUGACAGAAACAACAUUUGGUUUGAAAACAGAUCAUGUUGAGAGGGGAGAGAGAAUGAUUGUCCAAAGUCUUGAAAACUUCCAGGAUCUGGACAUUGGGAUAAAAAUCUCCAAAACUCUGAGAGAGAAGUGGGUUGAAAUGGUGAACAACAGUUUUUUGUCACUGAUAAGAGAAACAAUAACCGCUGAUUUCAAGACUGCACAGGUUCAUCUUGCUGUAGAAGAUCUUCAGCUGGGGGACAACAGCCCCUUACAGCUCUAUCACAUCCUGGAUAGAAAUCAGAAUAUGUUGAAUUGAUAAAAAAUACAUUUUUUGAAUUGAUAUAUAAACUCUGGGUAUCAAUUGUAAUUAUUGUACUGGUUACAGUUGUAACUCACGUUUGUUCUGGAU